rnacentral:rRNA from 1 species
AGUUGCUGCAGUUAAAAAGCCUCGUAGUUGGAUUUCGGGUGGGGCACGUCGGUCCGCCGUUUCGGUGUGCACUGGCGGGGCCCACCUUGUUGCCGGGGACGGGCUCCUGGGAUUCAUUUCCUGGGACUCGGAGUCAGCGAGGUUACUUUGAGUAAAUUAGAGUGUUCAAAGCAGGCCUACGCUCUGAAUACAUUAGCAUGGAAUAACACGAUAGGACUCUGGCCUAUCCUGUUGGUCUGUAGGACCGGAGUAAUGAUUAAGAGGGACAGUCGGGGGCAUUCGUAUUUCAUUGUCAGAGGUGAAAUUCUUGGAUUUAUGAAAGACGAACUACUGCGAAAGCAUUUGCCAAGGAUGUUUUCAUUAAUCAAGAACGAAAGUUGGGGGGCUCGAAGACGAUUAGAUACCGUCCUAGUCUCAACCAU